UACGAAGGGGGCUAGCGUUGCUCGGAAUUACUGGGCGUAAAGGGCGCGUAGGCGGAUAGUUUAGUCAGAGGUAAAAGCCCAGGGCUCAACCUUGGAACUGCCUUUGAUACUGGCUAUCUUGAGUACGGGAGAGGUGUGUGGAACUCCGAGUGUAGAGGUGAAAUUCAUAGAUAUUCGGAAGAACACCAGUGGCGAAGGCGACACACUGGCCCGUUACUGACGCUGAGGCGCGAAAGCGUGGGGAGCAAACAGG
rnacentral:rRNA from 1 species